UACAGAGGUCCCAAGCGUUGUUCGGAUUCACUGGGCGUAAAGGGUGCGUAGGUGGUGGGGUAAGUCGGAUGUGAAAUCUCCGAGCUCAACUCGGAAAUGGCAUUGGAAACUGCCCUGCUAGAGGGUCGGAGGGGGGACUGGAAUGCUUGGUGUAGCAGUGAAAUGCGUAGAUAUCAAGCGGAACACCAGUGGCGAAGGCGAGUCCCUGGACGACUCCUGACACUGAGGCACGAAAGCUAGGGGAGCAAACAGG
rnacentral:rRNA from 1 species